CCUCCUCCUUGCCCCCAUCCUCAGCACCCCAACACCGACCUCCUCCUCUCGCCCCACCCCCAACAUCCUCCUUCCCGUCCUCAGCACCCCACAUCCCCUUCUUCCUCUUCCCCGCCAUCCCUGUCCUCAGCGCCCCAUCCCUAAUUGCCUCCAAUCCAUUUCUCAUUGCUGGGCCCCACUUUCCCAUCCUCCCACUCCCCCAGUCCAUCCCCAGGGUGUGAGGUUCCUCAUCUUCAAUCUCUGCUACACCCAAACCUGCCAGGUUCCCCUUUUCAACCACUGUGGGGUCGUCCAACCACCGAUACCCAUCCACUCUGGGCUCUCCAAAUCCCACAUUCUCACAAUGCACCUUCGUAAUGCCUCUCUCCUCUAUCUCUAAUCCCCAUAUUCCCUUCCCUUAGGUCCUUCUGGACACCCCAACCCACAGUCAGGCCCCUGCAUGCAUCCCAGUCAUUCACAUACUGAGCUAGUUCUUCAGGGACCCCCACAGCCCAGCAAACUUCUCCAUCCAUGAGCCCCAUGGACCUGUGGCCGGGAAGGUGAGGAAGCUCCCACUUUGGCUGGGCUGGGUGUGGGUGUUAAUCUUUUCCUGUCUUGUGUGUGCUGUGCUCACAAAGGCUUUUUGCUCCCUCUGGGUGAGGUGUGGUUUUGGCCAAAGAUGAGGUGUUUUGGUAGCCCUGUGGAUGCUGUGUGGUGUCUGGAAUGGGGCGUGUGUGUUCCCAUCAUGCCCCUUCCCCUCUGCCUGCAGAGCUGAGGACAGACAGGUCUGAGGAGCAGAGCAGGAGCUCUGGGAAGGAGAAGAGCAAUAUGAAGAUGGAGUGUAAGAUGAGGCCAGGGAAAAGAAGUCGCGAGGACGGAGUCCAGCCCUGAGGUGAGAUGGAAAGUGAUCGAGAGCAGUGACAGCGUGAAUCCUGUUGAUGCCAGGCAAGAGCUGCCCAACUGGGACAAGAGUAACCGUCUCUGUCGAUAUAUGUUAUGAGGUUGGAAAAUGUCCCCCCCACCAGCCUUUCAGGUGUGACAAUGGCG